rnacentral:rRNA from 1 species
GACGAACGCUGGCGGCGUGCUUAACACAUGCAAGUCGAACGGAAAGGCCCUGCUUUUGUGGGUUGCUCGAGUGGCGAACGGGGGAGUAACACGUGAGUAACCUGCCCUUGACUUUGGGAUAACUUCAGGAAACUGGGGCUAAUACCGGAUAGGAGCUCCUGCUGCAUGGUGGGGGUUGGAAAGUUUCGGCGGUUGGGGAUGGACUCGCGGCUUAUCAGCUUGUUGGUGGGGUAGUGGCUUACCAAGGCUUUGACGGGUAGCCGGCCUGAGAGGGUGACCGGCCACAUUGGGACUGAGAUACGGCCCAGACUCCUACGGGAGGCAGCAGUGGGGAAUAUUGCACAAUGGGCGGAAGCCUGAUGCAGCAACGCCGCGUGCGGGAUGACGGCCUUCGGGUUGUAAACCGCUUUCGCCUGUGACGAAGCGUGAGUGACGGUAAUGGGUAAAGAAGCACCGGCUAACUACGUG